rnacentral:misc_RNA from 1 species
UUGAAGGAGAUAAAUCUGUAUGGCCCUCACACUUUCUUAUACUCUUGGCUUCAUUAUAUUUGUUGUUAUGGCAUCUUGUAAAAUUACAAUCAGUGUUGUUCAUUUCUUGUACAUAAAUCUGAACUAAUGAUUGUAAAUUAUGAUGUUUUUUCUUUCUUAAAACUGAGCAUUGGUUGAAAUGUUAAUAAAUCGAAUUCUCUUCUGGCGGAGUUGAAGAUUAUCAAAUAGGUUAUGUGCUUGCAGGUUUCUCAAGCACCAUAUAUCACUCAUCUGGGAUGCAUUUUCAGAUAUCAGACUAAAAGAGGUCUUUUAACAUAAAAUGCAACUGCAGAGCAUUGUUAAUAGUUAUAUGCUUGUAGAAAACAAAUUUCUUUAGCAGCAGGAAUCUUUCUGUCGUUGAUAUUAGUAAAUAUUGUUUAGUUAUCAAGAAGUGGAUGAAAGUUUUAAUCUUUGUUGACUACUGGAUGCUAAAACAAAGUUUUGAAAAUACUCAAUUGGAUUGUGUAUAAAUGGGGUAUUUCAUGUGAUUUUCCCUUGUUAUUGGGCCUCUGCUGAUGGGCUAGAGCAUAUCUGGAUUCUGGAGUUUCUAAUUUACAUCUAUUUUGUGCAGUGACAAGCUCAUGUUGACACGUUC